GUCUUACUGUUAUCACAGCCACCGUCAUUCCAAGUACCAUUGUGGUUUUCUCCUUUUUGGUAGUACAUAGUGCCACAGGCUAUAUUAUUAUUGUUUGGUUCCCCUUUAUUCCAGUUUCGGUAGGUGAAUGUUUCACCGUUGCUCCAUGUUCCAUUGGUCAUAUUUAUAUCUUUUAGCCCAAUCCAGAUUUCUGCAUCAGAGUAAUUUUCUCUUGUAAGAUUGUUCAGAAUUUCCUUAAGUUCCUCCUCAUCUGCAAUAGUCACCAAGUCAGUGAAGUUACUCCGGCAGUAAGCCUGUGCAUUUGACCAGUUUGUCAUUUCAUUUACAUAAUAAUAGUUAAACUCCUGGGAUCCGUGCACAGCCAUUACAAACAAGCUGAAUCCUGCAGCAGAAAAUGUCAGAAAGAAAAAGCAAAAAGGAAACCAUCAGCUGUCAAACUGUGGCUGAGCACUAAACAUGCAGUGGUGUCCUUAUUCUUUAUAAAGCUCCAAAUCAACUUUUGCUAAAGAUUGUUUCCCAUGGUCAAACUUAAA